CGGCCGCCCGGCGCCCCCAGCAGCCCGAGCCGGGGCGCACAGCCGGGGCGCAGCCCGCGCCCCCCGCCGCGAUUGACAUGAUGUUUCCACAAAGCAGGCAUUCGGGCUCCUCGCACCUACCCCAGCAACUCAAAUUCACCACCUCGGACUCCUGCGACCGCAUCAAAGACGAAUUUCAGCUACUGCAAGCUCAGUACCACAGCCUCAAGCUCGAAUGUGACAAGUUGGCCAGUGAGAAGUCAGAGAUGCAGCGUCACUAUGUGAUGGUAACGUCACUCCGCCCCCAGGUCCAGUGUUGGGGGCGGGCGACAGGGCCCUCCACAUCCCCUCCACCACGGGCAGCUGCUCCCUCAACCCCGGCCACCUCCCCUGGGAAGCGCGAGGAUCGGGGCCUGUUCUCCAUUCAGCCGGCCCCUGCUGGGCUGAGCCUGCCUCGCUAGCCUGGCAGAUGGCCGAGGCAGUGGCCGAGGUGCCAAACCGCCGGGUUGCAGACCGGCCCUGCCAG
rnacentral:lncRNA from 1 species